rnacentral:rRNA from 1 species
GUGUAAGGCUGUACCACCCUGAAUGCGCCUGAUCUUGUCUGAUCUCUGAAACUAAGCAGGGUCAGGCCUGGUUAGGACUUGGAUGGGAAAAAACAUUUUUAAAGUGGAAAAUAGAUCUUUUGAAAU